GGAUGCCGAGGCGCGGCACUGUUAGAGCCUGAAGAAGAGGAUGAUGAGGGCGGCUGCCUCGUCCCAGACAGGUUUGGGUUCCUGCAUGAGCAGAAGUUGCCCCAAGACAGCACCCCGGGGGCAAAGUGUAAACAGGUGCACAGGAUCCAGAAAUGGGUGAAAAUGAUAAAGAACCACAGCAAAUACCAUGGCAGCGAGAAGUUUCAGCAGAGAAUCUACAAGGGCAUCCCUGCCCAGGUGCGCGGGAAGGUGUGGGCUGUGAUGCUGGAGGUGGACAAGAAGAAGGCCCAGAAUCCAGGCAAAUACGCGGUAUGGCUCUGCACUCAGCCCAAGGGGCCCUGGCCUGCUCGGGCCUGGUCAGGAGCCUGAGUCUCCGUGGAGGACCGUCCCUGACUGAGCCCUCGGGAGCCUCCUCCCCAUCCUGCCUGCUUCUCUCCCUAGAUCCUAGUCAGUGCCUCCUCCACGUCUCCCCAGACCCAGCUGGGACUGCACAUGUGUGUUUUGUGCCAGAGGCUUUAACCUGCUCUCUGCUGAGCUCACCAGGGCAGCUUGGCAUAAGGCCAGAACAGAGGAAUUGCUGCGCCCAUGAUGGGCGGGGGUCUCCCAGUAUGAGAUCACAAUGGUGUGAGGUAGGGAGCCCCACAGGCUCUGUGCUAACAGGGCCUGCCCACAGCUGGCCCUGCCUUCACAUGCACUUGCAGCCCCUGGCAUUGCCCUUGCCUGGAGUGGCUGGUCCAAUGGUCAGACAGCUCUCAAAGCUUCCGGGAAAGGAGGGAGUGAGGGCUGGUGUGAGCAGAGGGCUGGCAACUGCAGCUGGCUCUCAUGUCCCCAGCUGCCAUCAGGGAGCAGGGCCCAGCUGUGUGGCCCACCCUACCUCCCCCAAGUCUGCAGUUUGGGGCUGGCCCUGGGAGCUGGGCCUGGAGACAGUCAUUGCCCAGGCUCGGCUCCAAGCCAAGGGUGGCUUCCAAUGUCUAGAUGGAGAUGGGCCCCUCCAGCAGGGCGCAGCAUGGAGCAGUGGCCAGGCUGUGGCUGACUCCUGGAGGGCAGGGCCUGAGAUGCCAGCGAGGGGGAUCAGAAGCCUGGCUGGGGUCAGACCGCAUCUGUGCUGA
rnacentral:lncRNA from 1 species